GGUCAACUUGAACACUGGUUCUUCAGAUCCUUAGCUGCUUGUCUCGGGGAAGCUUGCAAUGAUACCUUCUCUCUAGCAAGCACAAGGAUGCCAUUACCAUUUAUCCUCACCAGGAGUCCAAUGAUGGGAUCAAUGGUGGAUUCUUGGCCUCCAGAACUGCGAGCUAAAUAAAUCUCUUUGCAAAAAGUAAAUAAAUAAAUAAAUAAAUAAAAUAAAUAAAUCUCUUUGCGUCA